CGUCGAGGGUCAGCAAGUGUGGCUGCUGACUGAGCCCACCUGCCUCUGCAGGAAAGAGCCAGACUUCCCAGAGGUCAGUCUGUUCAACGAGUGGGACCCCAGGGCCUUCUGUAUGUUCGGCAAAGAGAGCUUGCAGUGACCUCCCCAAAGGAUGGCUCCAUCUCCAUUCUGGGUUCUGAUGAUGCCACCACUUGUCACAUUGUGGUCCUGAGGCACACAAGUAAUGGGGCUACCUGCCAGACACACUGUGACAGGACCGACACCAAAGCUGAGGUCCUCUUGACCAUGAACUCCAUAAAAUCCUUUUCCAGCCACGCUCAAUGUGGAAGGCUGGAAGUGCACCUCGUGGGAGGCGUCAGUGACAAUAGGCAGUUGUCACAAAAACUUACUCAUCAACCUCUUAGUCAAUUUGACAGACAAGAAGAUGACAUUCACUUAGUGAUGUUAUGUGUGACAGAAUUAAAUGGAAAGAAAAUGAAAACCGCUUUCCAGUAACUUCUGGCACUGCUGUUAACAUCAAACUGCAGAGAUUUACAGAGCCUCCUUCCAGAUCCAGGUCCAGAGCAGCAGCUGCUCGGGCUUUAGCAGGAGGACCGAUGAUUAGCUACGGUGCAAAGACAGAACAGCUCCCAUAGGACCGCUUCCCUGGGUGCCAUUUCCACAUGUGGAUUUCUGCUUGCAGCAAGAUGAUAAGCAAAUACUAGGGAACUUUUCCACUUCACCUUUGGCCAAGCACCCUCCCCCCGUCCCACUUUGUUGAACAUAUUAAAUCUACCUUGACGUUUUUUAAAAAAACCCAUCUCCAACUAACACACUGUUUCCUGGAAAUAAGCUCUACUCUACAAAAAAAUGAAGACGGUGGCUUAUGGGAAAAGAUCUCUUCUCCAGGAAGCUAA